rnacentral:rRNA from 1 species
UACGGAGGGUGCAAGCGUUGUCCGGAUUUAUUGGGUUUAAAGGGUGCGUAGGCGGCUUAUUAAGUCAGGGGUGAAAGACUGCAGCUCAACUGUAGCAGUGCCUUUGAUACUGAUGAGCUUGAGUACAGAUGAGGCCGGCGGAAUGGGUGGUGUAGCGGUGAAAUGCAUAGAUACCAUCCAGAACACCGAUUGCGAAGGCAGCCGGCUAAACUGUAACUGACGCUGAGGCACGAAAGCGUGGGGAGCAAACAGG